rnacentral:rRNA from 1 species
CCUACGGGGGGCUGCAGUGAGGAAUAUUGGUCAAUGGCCGGAAGGCUGAACCAGCCAUGCCGCGUGAAGGGCAGGGACCUAGGGGCGUUAAACUUCUUUUGUGCGGGAGCAAGAAUGGGCACGUGUGGCCAGACGAGAGUACCGUACGAAUAAGCAGCGGCUAACUCCGUGCCAGCAGCCGCGGUAAUACGGGGGAUGCAAGCGUUAUCCGGAUUUAUGGGGGUUCAAGGGGGCGUAGGCGGUGAGGUAAGUCAGCGGGGAAAUGCCCCCGCUCAACGGGGUGAAGUGCCAUUGAUACUGCCUUGCUGGACUGCGGCUGCCGUGGGAGGUCUGUGUGGUGUAGCGGUG